UGUCUCAAAAAAGAAAAAAAAAAAAAAUUGGAAUGAUAUAGAGAAGAUUAGCAUGGCCCCUAGCAAGGAUGACACACAAAUUCAUGAAGCAUCUGGUGGCACC